rnacentral:rRNA from 1 species
AUUGAACGCUGGCGGCAGGCCUAACACAUGCAAGUCGAGCGGAUGAAGAGAGCUUGCUCUCUGAUUUAGCGGCGGACGGGUGAGUAAUGCCUAGGAAUCUGCCUGGUAGUGGGGGAUAACGUUCCGAAAGGAACGCUAAUACCGCAUACGUCCUACGGGAGAAAGCAGGGGACCUUCGGGCCUUGCGCUAUCAGAUGAGUCUAGGUCGGAUUAGCUAGUUGGUGAGGUAAUGGCUCACCAAGGCGACGAUCCGUAACUGGUCUGAGAGGAUGAUCAGUCACACUGGAACUGAGACACGGUCCAGACUCCUACGGGAGGCAGCAGUGGGGAAUAUUGGACAAUGGGCGAAAGCCUGAUCCAGCCAUGCCGCGUGUGUGAAGAAGGUCUUCGGAUUGUAAAGCACUUUAAGUUGGGAGGAAGGGCAGUAAGUUAAUACCUUGCUGUUUUGACGUUACCGACAGAAUAAGCACCGGCUAACUACGUGCCAGCCGCCGCGGUAACAC